ensembl:miRNA MIR32 microRNA 32
GGAGAUAUUGCACAUUACUAAGUUGCAUGUUGUCACGGCCUCAAUGCAAUUUAGUGUGUGUGAUAUUUUC